CAUACAAUAAGCGGAGGAAAAGAAACCAACAGGGAUUACCUCAGUAACGGCGAGUGAAGCGGUAACAGCUCAAAUUUGAAAGCUAGCUCUUUUAGGGUUCGCAUUGUAAUUUGUAGAAGAUGCUUCGGGUGUGGCCCCGGUCUAAGUUCCUUGGAACAGGACGUCAUAGAGGGUGAGAAUCCCGUAUGUGACUGGGUGCUUUCGCUCAUGUGAAGCUCUUUCGACGAGUCGAGUUGUUUGGGAAUGCAGCUCAAAAUGGGUGGUAAAUUUCAUCUAAAGCUAAAUAUUGGCCAGAGACCGAUAGCGCACAAGUAGAGUGAUCGAAAGAUGAAAAGCACUUUGGAAAGAGAGUUAAACAGUACGUGAAAUUGUUGAAAGGGAAGCGCUUGCAACCAGACUUGCGCGCUGAUGAUCAUCCGGGCUUCUGCCCGGUGCACUCGUCUGCGCUCAGGCCAGCAUCGGUUUCGGUGGUGGGAUAAAGGCCUUGGGAAUGUAGCUCCUCUCGGGGAGUGUUAUAGCCCUCGGUGCAAUGCCGCCUACCGGGACCGAGGACCGCGCUUCGGCUAGGAUGCUGGCGUAAUGGUUGUAAGCGACCCGUCUUGAAACACGGACCAAGGAGUCUAACAUCUAUGCGAGUGUUUGGGUGUCAAACCCAUACGCGUAAUGAAAGUGAACGGAGGUGAGAACCCUUAAGGGUGCAUCAUCGACCGAUCCUGAUGUCUUCGGAUGGAUUUGAGUAAGAGCAUAGCUGUUGGGACCCGAAAGAUGGUGAACUAUGCGUGAAUAGGGUGAAGCCAGAGGAAACUCUGGUGGAGGCUCGCAGCGGUUCUGACGUGCAAAUCGAUCGUCAAAUUUGCGUAUAAGGGGCGAAAGACUAAUCGAACCAUCUAGUAGCUGGUUCUGC
rnacentral:rRNA from 1 species